rnacentral:rRNA from 1 species
UGAAAAGAACCCUGAGAAGGGAGUGAAAUAGAACUCAUACCAAGUGUACUUGUUCAUCCAGGUACUCCUUGUGGAAGAAAGUGAUGGCAAAUUGUAGCGUACUGAUCUAUUCAGUCGCUCAAGCCCGAAUGCCUAUGAUCUAACCGAGUAAAGGCUCGACUCUUUAUGAGUAGUGAGGCCGAAGCGUGGAGUUAUUCGAAACUGUCGUUUUAUGCUCGGUUGGUGGCUAAAUGUCAAUCGUAUAGGCUAAUAUCUGGUUAUGUUCGAAAUAUCUAUAGCAAUAGACAAGACGUCCUGAAGCAUUUUGUCAUAUUAAUGGCUGUGUCAUAGGGAUUACACGUUAUGUCUAUAUUCGGUAAAGAUGGGUAGAAGCUUAUUUUACAAGAGGGCAACAACCCUCAGGUACUGCUAAGGGGAUCAAUAAUGUCUAAGUCCUUAACAGUCGAUGGUGCUUAAUCACAUCUCACAAGUCGCAUUAGCAGUAUGCAUCUUCUUACGAGUGUCCACCAACUUAUGAGAUAUACACCACGGUUGCUUAAUUAGGCAAUAAGACAUUACCCGACGCAGACUUAGUGUUAGAACAUCGUCUCCUUUUACAACAGGUUAGUGAUACUGCUAUCUUGAGUAGUCCAAAUGGUCGAUAAUACCAUUGCAUUCAACCAAUAUGUUAUGUCACUGUUGUUCAUACAUAUAAUGAUACAAUGCCUAACUUCCUUGUAAUACUUGGUAACGAUGGAUGUCAUGUUUGAUUCAUGAUUAUCUAAUACUGCCAGUACCUCUCGGUACUUGGUUCAAAAACGUCUAGUUGUUUACUAACACAGGAUGGGAUCAAAAUACUUGAAAUGUACAUGGCAAACUGGUGUAAAGAAUUUGACAAUAGAGUUAUGAAACUUAGGGAUAAUAACGAAGUUUAUCAAGCGACUGUUUAACAAAUACACAGGUCUUAGUAACGACGAUCUUUAGCUUAGGGCUGAUAUGUGAUCAGUGCCUUAAUAGGUAAACAUCGGCGGUAACUGUAACCGUCCAAAGGUAGCGAAAUUCCUUGUCAUCUAAAUAAUGACCUGCAUGAAACAUGGAACGAUUAGAUAGGUGUCUUACACAAGUGUAAUGACGAAAUGGUAGUAAGCGUGAAGAUACGAAACGAUAGCUUUAGGACAAGAAGACCCUCAGAUGCUUUAUACGCAUACUAGUUAAUAUAGCAGUCUGUUAGUCACUGGGUGAUAUAUUCCCUCAAUGCUAAUUGCACUGUUCUAUCGGUUCUUCUUCUUCUGAAAUGUGUUACUAGACGGUUUGAUUGGGGCGAUCACCUUCUUUACUCAACGAGAGGUUAACAAAGAAUGGCAUAACUGUCUAGAACGCAGAUCUUAAGUAGAAAGGCAGAACCAAUUCUGAUAACUAGAAGUCACUCAAGUUAGGCACAACAGCUGUCUUAUUGAUCUUGAAAUGAACUUACAUGAUAAAAGUAACUCAAGGGAUAACAGGCUUAAUGGGAACAAGAGCUCUUAUCGACUUCCCGUCUUGGCACCUCGAUGUCGGCUUACCUUUUCCAAGAGAUGCACAAGGCUCUAGGGUGGAGGUGCUCACUCCAAUACAAGGUACACGAGCUGGGUUCAGAACGAUGUAAAUCAGUUUGGUCUAUAUCCGAAGCAUUACAACUGGGAUUAAGGUACCUAGUACGCAAGGACCGGUACAUAACAAGUUCCCUGACAUAACUGGUUAAAUGGUUAUCACUGUUCGAAGAUAAGUGACAAUUCAGGUCCUUAGUUG